AUAUUACAUGUUGUGGUUUCAGAC
rnacentral:siRNA from 1 species